rnacentral:rRNA from 1 species
UACGAAGGGGGCUAGCGUUGCUCGGAAUCACUGGGCGUAAAGGGUGCGUAGGCGGGUCUUUAAGUCAGGGGUGAAAUCCUGGAGCUCAACUCCAGAACUGCCUUUGAUACUGAAGAUCUUGAGUUCGGGAGAGGUGAGUGGAACUGCGAGUGUAGAGGUGAAAUUCGUAGAUAUUCGGAAGAACACCAGUGGCGAAGGCGGCUCACUGGCCCGGUACUGACGCUGAGAUACGAAAGCGUGGGGAGCAAACAGG